AUGGAGUUGGUGGUAGGUGCCUCGAAUGCUACCAUGAGGUCUCUCCUGGGCAAGCUGGGCGGUCUUCUUGCCCAGGAGUAUGCUCUGGUCCGUGGAGUCCGCCGUGAUGUUCAGUACAUCAACGAUGAGCUUACAAGCAUGCAGGCCUUCCUCCGUGACCUCAGCACUGCCCUGGAUGACCAUGACAACCGGAUGAAGGACUGGAUGAAGCAGAUCCGUGACAUGGGCUAUGACAUUGAAGAUUGCAUUGAUGACUUUGCCCACCGCAUACCCCGCGAUCCCAGCAGUGAUGUUAAAUGCUUAUUCAUCAGGACAAGAUUCUAUGAACUCCGGAUGUGGUGGCCUCGCCGUGACAUUGCGUCAAAGAUUGCUGACCUGAAGGUGCGAGCGCAACAGAUUGGUGAGCGACGUAGAAGAUAUGGGGUGCACAACCCAAGGAACCGUAAGAAUGGCUCUGGAGUUAGCGCUGGAACAUACGAGGUUGCUGAGCAUCAGCUCACAGAGCGUCAGCUCAUUGGUACAAAGGAGCCUGUGGGGAUGACGGCUGACAUGGAGAAGCUUGAGGAUUGGUUAGCCAAAUCUGAUAAAAGUUGUUAUGAGGAGCGAGCUGUUCUGUCCAUAGUCGGAUUCGGCGGUGUGGGAAAGACCACUAUUGCAAUGGCUUUGUACCAAAAGGUCCGGGAUAAAUUUGAUUAUCGGGCAUCAGUCACCGUGUCUCAAAACUAUGAUGAAGAUGCAGUCCUCAUGAUGAUUCUAAAACAAGUCAAGCCAAAGGAGAGUGAUCACGAGAACCAACACAAGACUGGCAGCUCUGAUGUAAAACAGAUUAAAUUUGAAAUUAGCCACGAUAAACUCGUGAAAGAACUACAAGAUCAUCUGGCUGAAAAAAGGUAUCUCCUCUUGAUUGAUGACAUAUGGUCUGCAAAAACAUGGGAGAGUAUCAGAAAGUGCUUGCCACAUGAAAAUAAAAAAGGCAGCAGAGUAAUAGUGACUACAAGAUUUCAAGCUGUUGGUGCCACAUGCUCCCAAGGAGUGAUUGAUUUUGUUCAUCCAGUCGAAUUUCUGAAUGAAGACGAGUCUAAAAGGUUAUUUAAGCGAAGUGUUUCUGAAUCCAAAAGCAUCAAAUAUAGCGAGAAAGAACUGGACCAAGUCACUGAGGAGAUAUGCAAGAUAUGCAGGGGUCUGCCUUUGGCCAUAGUUACCAUGGCUGGUCUUGUUGCCAGCAACCCGAACACACUCAGCAAAAAAUGGGAAGCAGUGUGCAAAUCAUUAUUUCCAGAGUCGGUGCCUUCUCUCACCUUGGAUGGUGUUACAAGGAUACUCGAGUACUGCUACAAUGAUUUGCCUGCAGAACUCAGGACCUGCUCGUUGUACCUGAGCAUAUUUCCUAAGGGUUCAAAAAUUAGUAGGAAGCGUUUGAUCCGGAGGUUGAUAGCCGAAGGUUUCGUUAGUGAGAAGCAUGGCUUGUCAGACGAGGAAGUUGCAGAAACAUACUUUAAUCAGCUGAUAAAAAGGAAGAUAAUACGGCCGGUUGAACACAGCAGCAAUGGGAAGGUAAAAAGCUUUCAAGUUCAUGAUAUGGUUCUUGAAUAUAUUGUGUCCAAGUCAAGCGAAGAGAAUUUUAUUACUGUGGUUGGUGGCCACUGGCUGAUACCAAUGUCGACCAAUAAAGUACGUCGACUCUCCGUGCAAAGCAGUGGUUCCGAACAUGGAAGUUCAACAAAACACAUGAACCUGUCGCAAGUGCGAUCACUGACCAUGUUCCGGAGCCUGGACCAACUUCAUUUCCACUCUUUCAAUAAUGGGAUUUUACAAGUGCUGGAUCUUGAGGGUUGCAAGGGUUUGAAAGAGAAACAUCUGAAGGACAUGUGUAGAAUGCUUGUGCUGAAGUAUUUGAGCCUUCGGGGAACAGAUAUUUCCAAAAUACCCUCUAAGAUUGAGAAACUCGAAUACUUAGAAACUCUCGACCUAAGGGAGACUGAUGUCGGUGAGCUGCCAAAAUCUGCAGGGCAGCUCAAACGGAUAAUCAACAUAUUUGGUGGGAAUAAAAACCCAAGAAGGGGGUUGAAGUUGCCUCAAGAGAUUAAUAAGGAGACAAUGAAAGCACUUCGUAUACUGUCGGGGAUCGAGAUUGAUGAGCAAUCGACAGGUGUAGAAGGCCUCCAUCAGUUGACAGGGCUUAGGAAGCUUGCCAUUUACAAGCUCAUAAUAUUGAAGGAUAGUAAAAUCUUCAAAGAAUUACGCUCUGCAAUCGAGUAUCUUGGCAGCUGUGGUCUGCAGACUCUGGCGCUCAAUGAUGAGGGAUCUGAUUUUAUCAACUCACUGGACACCAUGUCCGCACCUCCAAGAUACCUCAGCGCCCUUGAGCUCUCUGGCAACUUGGAUAGUCUUCCCAAGUGGAUUAACAAACUCGAUAACCUCCACAAAUUGACCCUCUCUGUAACUGUUCUCCGGAUGGAUACUUUUGAGCUCCUCUGGAAGCUGCCUUCGUUGUUUUCCCUCACCUUUUCGCUGAGUGCAGCGAAGCAGGAUGAGGCCAUAGAAGACAUCCUUGAGAAGAACAAAUCGGAGUCCGGCGGGGAGAUCUUUGUCCCAAGUGGAGGAUUCAAGAGCCUUAAGCUGCUUCGCUUCUUUGCACCUCUAGUGCCAAAGCUGAGCUUUCCAAAAGAUGCAAUGCCAGUACUCGAAAGGAUCGAGAUGCGGUUCGAAGCCUUUGAGGGCCUGUUCGGCAUCGACACCCUGGAUUGUCUUCAGGAGGUGCACCUGAGAGUCAAUAGCGCAGCAGAUGAAAUAACCAACUUCAUUGUAGAAGAUUUGAAGGCCAUCAAGAAGCCAAAGAUAAUCGUGGAUCAUGUCAUCACCAGUUGA
rnacentral:rRNA from 1 species